rnacentral:rRNA from 1 species
GUAGUCCACGCCCUAAACGAUGUCGACUAGUUGUUGGUCCUUCAGUGGAUCAGUAACGCAGCUAACGCGUGAAGUCGACCGCCUGGGGAGUACGGUCGCAAGAUUAAAACUCAAAGGAAUUGACGGGGACCCGCACAAGCGGUGGAUGAUGUGGAUUAAUUCGAUGCAACGCGAAAAACCUUACCUACCCUUGACAUGCCAAGAACCUUGCUGAAAGGCGAGGGUGCCCGAAAGGGAGCUUGGACACAGGUGCUGCAUGGCUGUCGUCAGCUCGUGUCGUGAGAUGUUGGGUUAAGUCCCGCAACGAGCGCAACCCUUGUCCUUAGUUGCUACGCAAGAGCACUCUAAGGAGACUGCCGGUGACAAACCGGAG